rnacentral:rRNA from 1 species
GACGAACGCUGGCGGCGUGCUUAACACAUGCAAGUCGAGCGGAAAGGCCCUUCGGGGUACUCGAGCGGCGAACGGGUGAGUAACACGUGGGUAACCUGCCCCAGACUUUGGGAUAACCCUCGGAAACGGGGGCUAAUACCGGAUACGACACAGCUUCGCAUGGGGUCUGUGUGGAAAGGUUUUCGGUUUGGGAUGGGCUCGCGGCCUAUCAGCUUGUUGGUGGGGUGAUGGCCUACCAAGGCGACGACGGGUAGCCGGCCUGAGAGGGCGACCGGCCACACUGGGACUGAGACACGGCCCAGACUCCUACGGGCGGCAGCAGUGGGGAAUAUUGCACAAUGGGCGGAAGCCUGAUGCAGCGACGCCGCGUGAGGGAUGACGGCCUUCGGGUUGUAAACCUCUUUCAGCAGGGACGAAGCGUAAGUGACGGUACCUGCAGAAGAAGCGCCGGCCAACUACGUG